rnacentral:rRNA from 1 species
ACGGAAGGCAGCAGUGGGGAGUAUUGCACAAUGGGGGAAACCCUGAUGCAGCGACGCCGCGUGAGUGAAGAAGUAUCUCGGUAUGUAAAGCUCUAUCAGCAGGGAAGAAAAUGACGGUACCUGACUAAGAAGCCCCGGCUAACUACGUGCCAGCAGCCGCGGUAAUACGUAGGGGGCAAGCGUUAUCCGGAUUUACUGGGUGUAAAGGGAGCGUAGACGGUUCUGCAAGUCUGAUGUGAAAGGCAGGGGCUCAACUCCUGGACUGCAUUGGAAACUGUAGAACUAGAGUGCCGGAGAGGUAAGCGGAAUUCCUAGUGUAGCGGUGAAAUGCGUAGAUAUUAGGAGGAACACCAGUGGCGAAGGCGGCUUACUGGACGGUAACUGACGUUGAGGCUCGAAAGCGUGGGGAGCGAACAGGAUUAGAUACCCUGGUA